ACCCGGGUGAAAACAUCACUUCUUCCCUCUCGUGCACUUUCCAUGUAAAUUCCUCUCGCGGUAUUUACUUUACUCGCGAGUGCAGCGUCACACGCUCCCGUGACUUUGUGAGCCAAUUGGGCAGCCAUAUAAGCCGGCAGGUAAAUGCGUCGGCUGCUACGCAGGGAAGCACGGGGGAGAGUUGCUGCAGGUAGGCUUCAAAGUUAUUUUUCCGCUUCAUUUGCACUUAGAUCGCUUUAAUACUAAACGUAACAACUGUUGAUUAUAGGCGCCUACUACCGCGAGCCUCGGAUCAUCGAGAUAAGGCGUCGUAGUUAAGUACGGAAAGGAAUUGGCCAGGUGUUAAUUUUGAUGGCGAGCUACGGAGAGGCCUAAAGCCUAAGCAGAACAAUAUCAUUCAACUCAACUCAUCGGAUUCGGGUUAUCCAAUCUGGAUCCGGAGGAGAUCACCUGCUCUGUCCGGGCCGGUAGGAGGCUCCUUGCAGCCGACCAAAACUCUUUGCCCAGUUUUCCCCUGCGGCUUCCAUAUAGCCAUUCACACCCGUCACCUUGCUUCUAACACAUUCACCAACUCAAACCCCCGGAUUCAACUGAUCGUGCCAUACUGGACUUGGGGUCGUUUGGGGAAUUGGAAAGUGAUAUGGGAUUUGUGAAUCACAGAAUUUGAACUUUAUUGCAUGUUGGAACCAGAUAUUUUCAUGUACAUAUUUAUUACUGAAUGGUCAUUCAGGUUUACAUUCACUACUUUUCUAUUUUUUUAUAAAUGUUGGUGUUUUGUCUGUCUUGCUAAUAUAUGGUACCAUCAAAACCUAA